rnacentral:rRNA from 1 species
AACGAACGCUGGCGGCAUGCCUAACACAUGCAAGUCGAACGAGACCUUCGGGUCUAGUGGCGCACGGGUGCGUAACGCGUGGGAACCUGCCCUUAGGUUCGGAAUAACUCCCCGAAAGGGGUGCUAAUACCGGAUAAUGUCUUCGGACCAAAGAUUUAUCGCCUUUGGAUGGGCCCGCGUUGGAUUAGCGAGUUGGUAGGGUAAAAGCCUACCAAGGCGACGAUCCAGAGCUGGUCGGAGAGGAUGAUCAGCCACACUGGGACUGAGACACGGCCCAGACUCCUACGGGAGGCAGCUGUGGGGAAUAUUGGACAAGGGGCGAAAGCCUGAUACAGCAAUGCCGCGGGAGUGAUGAAGGCCUUAGGGUUGUAAAGCUCUUUUACCCGGGAUGAUAAUGACAGUACCGGGAGAAUAAGCUCCGGCUAACUACGUG